CACCUCUUGUCUUGGACUUCAAAUUCAAUUGAUCCGUUUCCCAACCCAAAGAAAGAGAGAGAAUGUGGUGGUGGCGGCGGCGGCGUAGAUCUUGAGAACAUCUCCUUCUUCCGAUUUCAUUUUCACCCAAAAGCUUCUCGCUUUCAACAUCACCCUCACCAAAACCCCUCUUCAACGAGCCCUACUCUUCUUCUUUCUCCAUCCCAAUCGAAUGGCCGAGGGUGCACGAACCGCGCAUGCACCCGCCCCGCACCCGAUCCAACCCAAACCCGACGAUAAAACCCCGAAUCCGGUGAAGGAGACUCCGCCGCCGCCGGAGAAACCGGAGCCCGGCGAUUGCUGCGGCAGCGGAUGCGUCCGGGACGUUUACUACGACGAACUCGAAGAUACAAUAAGCUAUACAAACAAGACGAUCCCAGCCCCAAAGCUUCUUCAUAGUCUUCAUCAUCGCAUGGGUGAAAGUGUUAUGGGUCGAUGAUUGUUGGGUUAUUGUCGUCGUCAAUACACCAGCAUGCAUGGCGAUAUAGGGUUUGGGACGACACAUGGUUGGGUUCUGCCAGGCUGUUGGCAAAAAUAGUGGCGUAGGGUAUGGGGAGAGUAGGCUAGAUGCAGGCAUGCAGGUUAGGGAGCAACAACUUUUGACCCAAAGGUUAUUGCCAUUAGGAGUGGCAAAAUAAGGUAAGUUUGGUAUUUGGUUCCCCUUAUAAAAACGCUAUCCUGAACGAACGAAUGAACACAUUCAUCUCUUCAUUCUUGUUGUUACGCAUGUGGUGACAAAAAGUUUUUGUGUGUGAUGUUGUGUUAUUUAGUCCAUAUUUGGUU